AUGGAUACUAGACUAAAAGAAUUUGAGAUGCAAUAUGCUCGUUCAAAAUGUGGUUUCGCGUUUUGCCAAGUGAUGAAGUGUAGAGGGAGUGGGAAAUACAGGGUAGCAGGAGUUGCACUACUACGAAGUUAUAAUUUAAAGCUGAUGCGAACAAAAAAGGUGGCACUAGCAGGUUCACUUGGACAAAUGGCGGAGAAGACUUGGAGAAUAUUAAAUGUCGUCUCAAUAGGGGAUUGGAAACCUCAGAGUUUGCUACAAAUUUUCCUCUACCAAAGCUCUCCACCUCCCUCAGUUUAG